UACGUAGGGGGCAAGCGUUGUCCGGAUUUACUGGGCGUAAAGAGCUCGUAGGCGGCUCCGUAAGUGGGGUGUGAAAACUCCAGGCUCAACCUGGAGACGCCACCUCAUACUGCGGUGGCUAGAGUCCGGUAGGGGAGCAUGGAAUUCCUGGUGUAGCGGUGAAAUGCGCAGAUAUCAGGAGGAACACCAGUGGCGAAGGCGGUGCUCUGGGCCGGUACUGACGCUGAGGAGCGAAAGCGUGGGGAGCAAACAGG
rnacentral:rRNA from 1 species